rnacentral:rRNA from 1 species
AGUUUGAUCAUGGKUCAGAACGAACGCUGGCGGCAGGCUUAACACAUGCAAGUCGAGCGAGACUUCGGGUCUAGCGGCGGACGGGUGAGUAACGCGUGGGAACGUGCCCUUCUCUACGGAAUAGCCCCGGGAAACUGGGAGUAAUACCGUAUACGCCCUUUGGGGGAAAGAUUUAUCGGAGAAGGAUCGGCCCGCGUUGGAUUAGGUAGUUGGUGAGGUAACGGCUCACCAAGCCGACGAUCCAUAGCUGGUUUGAGAGGAUGAUCAGCCACACUGGGACUGAGACACGGCCCAGACUCUACGGGAGGCAGCAGUGGGGAAUCUUAGACAAUGGGGGCAACCCUGAUCUAGCCAUGCCGCGUGAGUGAUGAAGGCCUUAGGGUUGUAAAGCUCUUUCAGCUGGGAAGAUAAUGACGGUACCAGCAGAAGAAGCCCCGGCUAACUCCGUGCCAGCAGCCGCGGUAAUACGGAGGGGGCUAGCGUUGUUCGGAAUUACUGGGCGUAAAGCGCACGUAGGCGGACUGGAAAGUCAGAGGUGAAAUCCCAGGGCUCAACCUUGGAACUGCCUUUGAAACUAUCAGUCUGGAGUUCGAGAGAGGUGAGUGGAAUUCCGAGUGUAGAGGUGAAAUUCGUAGAUAUUCGGAGGAACACCAGUGGCGAAGGCGGCUCACUGGCUCGAUACUGA